UGCAUAUCCAAUAAGCGGAGGAAAAGAAACCAACAGGGAUUGCCCCAGUAACGGCGAGUGAAGCGGCAACAGCUCAAAUUUGAAAUCUGGCCCUCCCCGGGGGGCCCGAGUUGUAAUUUGCAGAUUGUGCUUUUGGCGAGGGGCCUUCCGAGUUCCCUGGAACGGGACGCCAUAGAGGGUGAGAGCCCCGUCUGGUCGGCCGCCGAGCCUCUGUAAAGCACCUUCGACGAGUCGAGUAGUUUGGGAAUGCUGCUCAAAAUGGGAGGUAUAUGUCUUCUAAAGCUAAAUACCGGCCAGAGACCGAUAGCGCACAAGUAGAGUGAUCGAAAGAUGAAAAGCACCUUGAAAAGGGGGUUAAACAGUACGUGAAAUUGUUGAAAGGGAAGCGCUCGCGACCAGACUUGGGCCCGGCGGAUCACCCAGCGUUCUCGCUGGGGCACUCCGCCUCGUCCCAGGCCAGCAUCGGUUCGUGCCGGGGGACAAAGGCGGCGGGAACGUGGCUCCCCCGGGAGUGUUAUAGCCCGCCGUGCAAUGCCCUGGGGCGGACCGAGGAUUCGCGCAUCUGCAUGGAUGCUGGCGUAAUGGUCACCAGCGACCCGUCUUGA
rnacentral:rRNA from 1 species